AUAUAUUAAUUGAAAAAGAUAUAUUUCGCUUCUCUUCAUGUACACUUUAGAGUUAUAUAUACGUAGCGCCGUCGAUGACUCACCGGUCGAAGUGUUAAAUGUAUUUGCGUCGCGUUAUCAGUGCAUACGUAGCUGCAGGUGGACAUUAUCGCGAUUACAUCGACGUAUAUUAAGCCGCACUUUAAUCGCACCGUCCAAUCGCGACGGUGACGGUUCAAACGAUCGUACGUCUUUCCACGGGAGACAUACAGGAAAUCAAUACAUCGGCCCAUGGCGAAGAGUCUGAGGGACGCGAAACAAACGCAGAAAUUCGUCUUCCGUAAACUCGUCAGCGUUAUACUUAUACGUCAUUCGUUAUAAAUAACGAAUUAUCGAUCUAUUUCACCCGCGGACGACGCGUCGCCGUCCCUCCUGUUUAUAGAGGCGCCCGUAAAGAUAGUAACGUGGCAUUUAUCGCAUUUAUUGCCAAGUCUCGCGCGUUCGUUCGAAUGAAGUCGCAAUAGCGUGAAUACGCUCGCACGGAAUGUAUGUGCGCAGUUAUACGAUGCGUGUUGCACAAGAGUCCGGGUUUUCGCUAGUGUGACGAUCUAACAAUACGAGGUUUCGCGAUUCCACGAAGCGCAACGCGGGUAAAAAGGAACACAAUGCAGAGUGGGCACAUCGUACACAACGAUGGCGAUGACGGCAAUGACGACGACGACAACGACGACGACGACGAUGA